GGUUGAUAAAUAAGGCAAUUGAUAUACUAACCGUUGGAAUUUCUGUUAGUUCUAAAAUAAGAGCAGUUCAUGAACUCUUGUAUAAAUUUUUAUUAUUUGAAAAAAAUUACCUUUAUCAAUUUUAUUUCUAAUUUUAAUUUAUUUUAUAAAAUAAUUUUUUAGAUCCCCUCUUAUAUGCAGCUUGCACUUUCCUGGUGCGAUAAUUGGUUUGGG
rnacentral:misc_RNA from 1 species